AUUGAACGCUGGCGGCAUGCUUUACACAUGCAAGUCGAACGGUAACAGGGAGCUUGCUCCGCUGACGAGUGGCGAACGGGUGAGUAAUGCGUCGGAACGUGCCGAGUAGUGGGGGAUAACGCAUCGAAAGGCGUGCUAAUACCGCAUACGAACUGAGGUUGAAAGUGGGGGACCUUCGGGCCUCACGCUAUUCGAGCGGCCGACGUCUGAUUAGCUAGUUGGUGAGGUAAAGGCUCACCAAGGCGACGAUCCGUAGCGGGUCUGAGAGGAUGAUCCGUCACACUGGGACUGAGACACGGCGCAGAAUCCUACGGGAGGCAGCGGUGGGGAAUUUUGGACAAUGGGCGCAAGCCUGAUCCAGCCAUGCCGCGUGUCUGAAGAAGGCCUUCGGGUUGUAAAGGACUUCUGUCCGGGAGCAAAUGCUGGUGGCUAACAUCCACCGGAGCUGAGAGUACCGGAAGAAUAAGCACCGGCUAACUACGUGCCAGCCGCCGCCGUAACAC
rnacentral:rRNA from 1 species